GACGAACGCUGGCGGCGUGCUUAACACAUGCAAGUCGAACGGAAAGGCCCUGCUUUUGUGGGGUGCUCGAGUGGCGAACGGGUGAGUAACACGUGAGUAACCUACCCUUCACUUUUGGUUAACUUCACGAAACUGGGGCUAAUCUCGUAUAGGAGCUCCUGCUUCAUUGUGGGGGUUGGAAAGUUUCGGCGGUUGGUUAUGUACUCGCGGCUUGUCAGCUUGUUGGUGGGGUAGUGGCUUACGAAGGCUUGGAAGGGUAGCCGGCCUGAGCGGGUUACCGGCAACAUGGGGACUGAGAGAGGGGGCAGAAGCGGAGGGGAGGGAGCAGUGGGGAAAAGUGCAAAGCGGGGGGAAGCCGGAAGCAGCAACGCCGCGUGCGGGAUGAAGGCCUUCGGGUAGUAAACCGCUUUCGCCUGGGAUGAAGCGGGAGUGACGGUAACGGGUAAAGAAGCACCGGCUAACUACGUG
rnacentral:rRNA from 1 species